rnacentral:rRNA from 1 species
GACGUAGGGCGCGAGCGUUGUCCGGGAUUUAUUGGGCGUAAAGAGCUCGUAGGCGGCUUGUUGCGUCGGCUGUGAAAACCCGCAGCUCAACUGUGGGCUUGCAGCCGAUACGGGCAGGCUAGAAUUCGGUAGGGGAGACUGGAAUUCCUGGUGUAGCGGUGAAAUGCGCAGAUAUCAGGAGGAACACCGGUGGCGAAGGCGGGGUCUCUG